rnacentral:rRNA from 1 species
GACGAACGCUGGCGGCGUGCUUAACACAUGCAAGUCGAGCGGUAAGGCCCUUUCGGGGGUACACGAGCGGCGAACGGGUGAGUAACACGUGGGUGACCUGCCCUCAGCUCUGGGAUAAGCCUGGGAAACCGGGUCUAAUACUGGAUAUGACUCCAUGACGCAUGUUGUGGGGUGGAAAGCCUUGUGCGGCUGAGGAUGGGCCCGCGGCCUAUCAGCUUGUUGGUGGGGUGAUGGCCUACCAAGGCGACGACGGGUAGCCGGCCUGAGAGGGCGACCGGCCACACUGGGACUGAGACACGGCCCAGACUCCUACGGGAGGCAGCAGUGGGGAAUCUUGCGCAAUGGGCGAAAGCCUGACGCAGCGACGCCGCGUGA